rnacentral:rRNA from 1 species
UGGUAGUGUAAUGGACUACCAAGACGAUGACGGGUAACGGGAAAUCAGGGUUUGAUACCGGANAGGGAGCCUGAGAGAUAGNUCCCNCGUCCAUGGACGGCANCAGGCGCGAAAAUUGCCCACUCUUUGCAGGAGGCAGUUAUGAGACGUGAAAUUGAAUAUUUUGUAAAGAGGAAUAGGAGAAUUGGAGGGCAAGUUUGGUGCCAGCCGCCGCGGUAAUACCGACUCCAAGAGUGUGUAUGAGAGAUGCUGCAGUUAAAAAGUCCGUAGUCAUAGAAGAGUAAAUAGGAACAUGAGGUUUCUUUAGUUAGUUUUUGAAAAGCCGAUGGGGAACAUAGUAUACCAGGGCGAGAGAUGAAAUGCCAAGACCCCUGGUGGACUAAGCGAGGCGAAAGCGAUGUUCUUGUAGGUAUUUGAUGAUCAAGGACGAAGGCUGGAGUAUCGAAAGUGAUUAGAUACCGCAGUAGUUCCAGCAGUAAAAGAUGCCGACAUGUUCAUUGGCAACAGUGGACAGGGAGAAAUCUUAGUUUUCGGGCUCUGGGGAUAGUAUGCUCGCAAGGG